GCGAGUCGAUUGCUCUUCGGAGCAAGGCAGACUGCUCAGUAACACGUGGAUAAUCUGCCCUUUGGUGGAGGAUAAUCUUGAGAAAUUGAGCAUAAUACUCCAUAGUUCUAAUCUGCUGGAAUGCUUUUAGAACGAAAGUUACAGCGCCAAAGGAUGAGUCUACGGACUAUCAGGUUGUAGUGAGUGUAACGUCCUCACUAGCCUAUUACGGUUACGGGUCGUGAGAGCGAUUGCCCGGAGAUGGACUCUGAGACACGAGUCCAGGUCCUACGGGACGCAGCAGGCGCGAAAACUUCACAAUGCUGGCAACAGCGAUGAGGGAAUCCCAAGUGCUAACACUUUGUGUUAGCUGUUUAUUUGUCUAAAAAACAGGUAGAGUAAGGGCUGGGUAAGACCGGUGCCAGCCGCCGCGGUAAUACCGGCAGCUCGAGUGGUAGCCGCUUUUAUUGGGCCUAAAGCGUCCGUAGCCGGUCUGGUAAACCCUUGGGUAAAUCGAAUAGCUCAACUAUUCGAAUUCCGAGGAGACUGCCAGACUUGAGACCGGAGGAGGUCGGAGGUACUCCUGGGGUAGGGGUGAAAUCUUAUAAUCCUAGGGGGACCACCAGUGGCGAAGGCGUCCGACUGGAACGGUUCUGACGGUAAGGGACGAAACCCUGGGGCACAAACCGGAUUAGAUACCCGGGUAGUCCAGGGCGUAAACGCUGCAGGCUUGGUGUUGGGGGUCCCGUGAGGGCGUCCAGUG
rnacentral:rRNA from 1 species